GACGGAGGAUGCAAGCGUUAUCCGGAAUGAUUGGGCGUAAAGCGUCUGUAGGUGGCUUUUUAAGUCCGCCGUCAAAUCCCAGGGCUCAACCCUGGACAGGCGGUGGAAACUACCAAGCUGGAAUACGGUAGGGGCAGAGGGAAUUUCCGGUGGAGCGGGUGAAAUGCGUAGAGAUCGGAAAAGACACCAACGGCGAAAGCACUCUGCUGGGCCGACACUGACACUGAGAGACGAAAGCUAGGGGAGCGAAUGGGAUUAGAAACCCCGUAG
rnacentral:rRNA from 1 species